rnacentral:rRNA from 1 species
ACGGAGGAUCCAAGCGUUAUCCGGAAUCAUUGGGUUUAAAGGGUCCGUAGGCGGUUUAAUAAGUCAGUGGUGAAAGCCCAUCGCUCAACGGUGGAACGGCCAUUGAUACUGUUAAACUUGAAUUAUUAGGAAGUAACUAGAAUAUGUAGUGUAGCGGUGAAAUGCUUAGAGAUUACAUGGAAUACCAAUUGCGAAGGCAGGUUACUACUAAUGGAUUGACGCUGAUGGACGAAAGCGUGGGUAGCGAACAGGAUUAGAUACCCUGGUAGUCCACGCCGUAAACGAUGGAUACUAGCUGUUGGGCGCAAGUUCAGUGGCUAAGCGAAAGUGAUAAGUAUCCCACCUGGGGAGUACGUUCGCAAGAAUG